rnacentral:lncRNA from 1 species
CCCAACAAGUCCGACUUACUCGCCUACCAGUCCAUCAUACUCACCCACAUCUCCGAGUUACAGCCCAACAUCUCCUAGCUACAGUCCUACAUCACCAAGCUACAGCCCUACAUCUCCUAGUUAUAGUCCUACAUCACCAAGUUACAGCCCCACCUCACCAGUUUAUAGCCCUACAUCUCCAGCAUACAGCCCUACAUCUCCCGCAUAUAGCCCCACAUCACCAUCUUACAGUCCAACUUCGCCAUCUUAUAGCCCUACAUCACCAUCAUACAGCCCAACAUCCCCCUCAUACAGCCCUACCUCCCCCUCAUACAGCCCUACCUCCCCCUCAUACAGCCCUACCUCCCCCUCGUACAGCCCAACAUCACCUGCAUACAGCCCUACUUCGCCAGGAUACAGCCCAACAUCACCGAGCUACAGUCCUACUUCUCCGAGCUACAGUCCUACUUCUCCGAGCUACAAUCCUUCAUCAGCCAAGUACAGCCCUUCGCAUGCAUACUCUCCAAGCAGCCCCCGGAUGACUCCAUAUAGUCAGACUUCUCCAAGCUACAGGUGCGCAUAAUUCUAUGAAGAUCUCUAUUCUUAGUAUUAUUGCCUCAAAGGGUACUCUGUCCAUACAUAUCUGUAUUGAAUGUUACUGUUUCUGUUAUCACAGUCCAACGUCACCGACAUACUCUCCAACGUCACCAUCAUAUUCACAACCAAGUCCAUCGUACAGCCCAACAAGGUGUGUGCCAUUCAGAUCCCAUUGCCUUUGGUGCAUCUUUAUAUAUAUGCUUGAAUAGUGGUGCAUUGCAGUACUAUUAUUUUGCUUGCUGUCGUUUGUCUUACAUAUUGCCCAACUAUUAAUGCAGCCCGUUCAACACCUCUGGAGGACCUAGCCCAGAUUAUAGCCCAACCUCUCCAAAUUACAGGCAAGUCAUUGUAGUAUCAGACAGAUAUCUACCUUUCGUGGAAGACAUCGUUUUGUGUUCUGACAAAUCUCAUUUUGUACGCUGCAGCCCUAGUGGAAGCUACUCCCCCACUGCACCGGGGUACUCCCCAUCGUCCACAGGCCAAGGUAAUGACAAGGAUGACGAGAGCAAUCGUUGAAGGCGCUGAAGGAACGGUGAUGGCUACAUGGGAAGAUCGAGCCUGCGGUGCCUCGCUUUUCGUUUCCCUUUUUCUCUAAUGUUUCUGUAUGGUUGAACUCUGAGAGUAAACUUAUUUUUCUUAAGCUGCUAAUAGCAGCGAGAGUUGUUUAUGUAUGAUACUAGAACUAAGGACUGAACUGUGCUGCGACUUGCUAAGUGGUUCACCGCAUGGUGGCCGUUCAGACUUCAGAGUAAAAAUAGUAACUGAUGAUGAUAAAAUCGUGACGGUAUUAUUGGUACUAUUAUGCUAUGAUUAUAUACCAUAAGAUCUAGUUUUCUCGUUGGAAUGUUGUGUUCCGGGCGUUUUUGGUAUUGCAUUGUUUCUUCUGGUUAAGUUUUAACUUAUUUGUCUGGAUUUUUGGAACUUGGAUUGAUUAUAUAAGUUGAUCGAAGUAGCACAUGGUCUGGGCUUAGUUUAGGCCCAUCUGAACAGAACUAUUGGGAAGGGAAUUGCCCUGCUUUCCUCACCAGACCAUCGCGCAUCCCAUCAAGGAUUCAUUCAAGUUCUCGUAAAGGCUUCCAAUUGUACUGCUGCUUGAUUGGUUAUUUGGAAAUUUGUCCGCAGAACCAUUGUUGCUUGCUUGCUUGUUUGUACUGUUGAUGCGGCCUAGUUGCUUUUACAAAAGCUGUGGUUUAAGUGAAGAAAGAUAAAAAGUUGGGAGGACGAUUGACAUGAGGGGUUUCAUCUUCCCUCCAACUGCAAGCCUUUACAAUGGAUGCCGAUCAAAUACGUCUUUGUACAAAUCUCACGAAGGCCACCAUCUUCAUGUAGCGACUUUUCUAAGAUUAGACAGAGGCCUCAGUGUGCAUCUGCGGUGUUAGUUAACUGCACUUGUGGAAAUGUAAAUCACAGAGUUACCUUUUUUUUUUCUUGUUAAUUUAGAUUUGGAAAAAAAUAUUCUCUUCUCAAAAUUUCUCGUGAACGUCGGGCCAUCUGACAUGCAAAGCCAGCCUUGUGAACUAAAAAUAUUCGCUUCUUCCUCCCGGCGAGUGGCACGCGGAUGCGUCACGCGUUGCUCUCGCGUGCAACCCAUCGUGUGAUAGAGUUUUCGAACCUUUAUGCGGGAUAUAUAGUCCGCAAUAUACAUUUUUAGUAGAUAGAGACUAUUAGUAUCUUGGUCAUAAUUAUUUCAAACGUUAAUUUUGACGAUCCUGGAAGGCUCAACGAAGAGCUCUACAUGAUUGUACUACGGAAACUGAUCUCAUUUAGGCUAGUGUGUCAAAAUUCACGAGACAAAUAUCCAACUCAUUUCGUUCUCUCUUUGUCCCAACUAGCUAGGGUCCAUGGUUCUUAUUACAGCAGUAUUAGUCAACGAACAACAUCCAAUUAAUGAUCAUCAUCUUUGCUUCUCAAGCAACCAUCUUAUUAUUAUAAUUAGUACGCGUACGUCCACAGCCGUAUAUAGUUGCGGGCAUGCUUUUGCUAUCUCAUAUCUCAGGCAUGUCAUUUUUCCAGCUUUACUUGGAAGUUGGAAGGUUAAAAUAGAGUGAUUUAAGCCUCUACUUUGCCUUAAGUCCUUAAUCACUUUCUUAAUCUUUCGAGAAGAAAAAAAAAACCCACUUUCUUCUUGGUGCCAGUACACUGCACACGUAAUUGUAUCUCUAGUAACUCCACAAAUUCUUGAAGCUAGCUAGAGCAAUGCCUCAUGGCCCACGCUUCUCGAGGUAGCAAUAGAAUGAUAUAUGGGACCUUAACACAAUUCUAUUCUGCCUAAUAAAAUUAUUACUAUAAAGUAGCAUCCUCUUCCAAGUAUGCCGUCACAGUAAGUAUGAUGCAUGUGUUUGGCGUGCAUAUAUACUAUGCAAUAGAAAAAGAAAAGAAAAGAAAUGUUGGCGAUGACAUGCAUGCAUGUUUAUCAGAAGUACAUCGCGAGCUAGCCUACGUGGAUCAUGUUUUCUUUUAGAUGGCUUUAUUUGCGUACGUGGAAUCUCGACGCAAGCAAAACGUACGCGGCAGUAGUAUAUAUAUUGUGAAUUGUGUGGCGGCGACUGUCACAAAAUGCAUGCUGAAAUUCAACACGCUGUAGUCCCCGAUCGACCGCCAACCCAAGGAGGUCCAGCCACGUGUACCGGAUGGGGCCCGCGGCCACCUGCAUUAUUCCAGCCACUAGCGCCCGCCACUAGGCCCGUUGACCUUUUGUGGAUUCCCCUGUUCAUGAGGUGAUCAAGCUAGCUAGCACACGCCAUGGUAUGUAAUGUACCGGGUGUUUCUCGUUCCUAGCUUGGUGCGUUUAGCCGUCAAAUCCCUCUCAAGUCUCAAGCUAACGUCUUGUUUACUUCGUCCAAAAUCUAAUUUUUUUUUUUCAAGAUUUUCCAUUCCCAUCGAUUCUUGCUGUGCUUAUAUGGAACAUUAAGUAUAGAUGAAAAAAGAUAACUAAUUGCACAGUUUAUCUGUGAUUUACAAGACGAAUUUGUUAAACUUAGUUAGUCUAUAAUUAGAUAAUAAUUAUCAAAUAUAAACGAAAAUACUUUAGUACCCAAAUUUAUAAAGUUUUUGGAUCUAUAAGGCCUAAGUGGCUAAAGGCUUAGCAACGACAAGUGCAAACCGGCUACCAUAUUUGUCCAAAAGCUAUAGCCUUGAGUCACCCACCGAGCUAGAGAUUCACAUGACACGAAGAAAAGAGAUAAAAAGGAGAAAGUAUAUUCGUGGAGAGCAUGCAAAACCAGCCUUUUGGAAAUAACAUACACACACUUUGGACCCGUUGUCGUAUGCAGAGUAGACAGCAGUUUCUGCAGCAUGCAAAUUGACUCGUGUUUUAUGAGGAAAAACAACAGUGCAUUGUGGCCAUGAAGCUUCGUAACAAGCGAUGUUGCAGCAGCAAGCCCACAAAGCUGUUCACCACCCGCAGACCGCCGCCUGAUGCAAUUGACUGUACGUAAGCUGGUAGCACUUUGCCGCACCCUGUCACAGGCUCACAGCAGCGACUCCAAUUAUUUAUUACAAUGCUUGCAAAAUAAACUUAUUUGUACAACUUCGUUUGUAUUUGACAAAUAUUAUCCAGUCAUGAACUAACUAGCCUCAAAAGAUUCGUCUCGUAAAUUACAGGCAAACUGUACAAUUAGUUAUUAAUUUUAUCUAUAUUUAAUGCUUCAUGCAUGCGUCGCAAGAUUUGAUGUGACGGAAAAUCUGAAUUUUUUUUAAAUUUUUUUAGGAACUAAAUAAGGCCUAGCUUCCAAUUCUAUCUUCAACAAUAGAUUUAUGAGUGAACCUAUUUUCAUUGUAAGGCUGAAUUGGUGUUGCCACCCAAUUCAAUUCCUCCGGGCUAACAUAUAUCUACGUCGAAACAGACCAUAAGAUUUCUAAAUCAGAUAGAUGUCCUUAGGUCCUUCAUUUUGAACCCAUGGUGCAGCGAACUGAGAUAUCUGGUUGUGUUUCUUACGGUGAAACCUAUUCACCUGGAUCCAAGUCCUCGACUUGACUCGGGUGCUCGUAUUUUUUUGAUUAAAUCUAUGACUAUGAUUUAUUGAUAACACUAUUUUUCCAGUGGUAGGCAACGUGUCUGUCGCCACCAAAAUAUUUAUGGUGACUUCGUCAAUCUCAAGAUUGUCCACAUGAAUAGGGUGUAUAUGCAUGUGUUUAUCAGGUGAGUAUACGCUCAUGUAUGUCUAAAAAAAAGAGUCGCGCCAACCAUGCAGUCAAGCCAAUGCAUUUAAUUAAGCAUAGUGAUGAGAUUGAGGGCCUGUUUAGAUCCCAAAUUUUUACAUCCCGAAACUUUUGGCUGUAAACUUUACAUUUAAAUAGAUGUUUAGAUGUUUCCUAAAUUUUUUGGUCUAUAAGACACAUGACACGGGUCCCUAAGCAAGUUUACACAGUUUUGGGACUCCAAGGUCCCAAAUUCCAAAUCUACGGCAAGUUUUACAAGCCCCUAUUUAGAUACAUUCUUCCAAAAAAUGCUCAUUUCUCCAAAAGUUUUGGCUGUUUAGCUGUAUCUAAACAGGCCCUGAGAUGGCCGGUGGACUCAAAGCGUCAGCCUUGAAUUCAUUUCAGGACUGCUCUUCUAAAAAGAUUGUCUCUGUUUGGAUCUAAAGUAUUUUUUUAGAGUUUUAGAAAAAUAACAUGGUUUUAGAAAAAUAUUCUAGUUUUAAAAUGCUAUGAAGUGUUAGAGUGUAACAAACUUUAUAGUUUUGAAUACGAUGGUAUGGUUUAAACUGUGUAGUCUUUUUUGGAGUUUUUAAAAAUCCACUCUAUACCUCUUUUUAUCUAAACCAUGGUUUUGCACCUACAUAAAUGGUUCUAAAACUACAAUUUCUUAAUACUACAACAUCCAAACAAAACUUUUCUGGAUUAAAAAAACUACAUGAAACAAUGAAAAUUAGGAACAGGCCGGUGGAAGACGCAGAUAUACCUAGCGUAGCCGCUUGGGUUUCUCAAGAGAGUCUAUUUUUUCGAAUUCAUUUUAAUGAAAACCUUAUCUUAGAUCUCUCUCUGUUCUACAAAUCCACACACCGUAUCAUAGAGACAUGCAAUGCAAAGUAGUGACACAAUACAGGUAGCAGGUUCUAUCUGGUUCACAGGUAACAUGCAUAGAACAGUAGUUUUUUUUUCCCCACACAACUAGCUAGUCCAUUCUAGAACAAAAGUAUAAAGACGAGGCCACGGUCAAAAGAAACUAAUUAAAACUCACCCAGACGAGCACGGGACCAGAUGAAGAGAGAAAAAAAAGAAGCUUUCUGCAAAUGAAUUGCACUUUGCACACGUGAGAUCGAGUGAGAUGGAUAGCAAAAGUGUGUUCUACAGACAGGACGUACGUGGUCGAUCUGGCUCCCACAAAUUAAGCACCGAAACACUUGCAAUGCAUGCAUUGUACCGCGGCCACUGCGUGCACGCCCGAUCGAUCCCGUCGUCGAUCGAUAGGCGACCCUCCUGAUCUAGACGUCUGUCUGUCUGCCUGCGCCGGCCACUGAAUAUACGUGCAUAUGCUUCUCACAUGCUGCUGCUGGCUGCACACAGCGAUGCUUCCGAUCGAUCAUCGAUCUUGUGGACGACGACGACGACGACGACGACGACCGGCACCACCACCUUUUCCGGCCACUAACAAGAAGCAGACGACGACCAUGCAUGGCCAGGGAGAGGUACCUACCACACCAGUCACAAGUUGCCUACAGCCUACAACUCUCUCCAGCCUCAAACUCCCAACGGCGGCUAGGCUAGCUAGUAGCUACCCCACACGCACCAACGGAACAACCAGCAGCCAAGGAUGCAUGCAUAUGCUAACUUGGCACGCCACGUGAUGCGUGGCGUGCCACGUUAACAUAUGCAUGCACAUCGUGUACGUGUGGCGGACACGUCACGCGCAAAGGCCAGUCGGGUAUUGACACAUCGGCAGGGGGAACGUACAGGCUUUGGGGCCUAGGGAUGAGCAUGAUUGUCCUCUCAGGAGCUGGAUCUAAUCAUGAUUAUACAUUAAGUGAUGCAUGGGCCAGGUUUAGUGGAUGAGGUCCCAUGCUGUCUGCUGGGGUACAUACUUGGAUACUCGGAUGAUGCAUGGUUGUGAUCGAUGCAGCAAAUGAAACCGAUCGAUAAUGGUGGCAUCAGCUCUCUCUGUGUCAUGUGUCGGCCGGAAAUCGCCUCCAUGAUUGGUUGGACUUGGACCCCCCUCCAUCUGCACCAGCGAUUUUCUCCAUUCAGUCUUUCAGAUCGUAUAGCCAUCUUUGGAAAAAUAUGGCACCUUUAUUAAUUUGACAGAGGAAAAAAAAUGCAUGCAUGCUUUUCUCUUCUUUGAUUUGACAUGCAUGUGUAAUGUGUUUUGUUGUUCAGUUGGAUUGUACAUUUUGUCUUGCACUGCAGCGCGCUGAAAUGCUAAUGAUGUCUAUACCACUUCAAAUACAGCUUCACUCUUUAUUUCCUGAUAGACACAGAUGUAUAAAUGUGGGUUUCCCUAAGGUGCCGUUUUGGAUCCUUUCAUUUCGAGAAAUUGAAAUCUACUCAACAAACUCAGCUAUUUGGCUUGGAAUUUGAUAUUCCUCCACUUUUCAAAGUUCACCUAUAAGUCUAUCUCAUCAUCAUAAGGUGGGAGAUGGAAAUUGAUUCUAUAGAUCACUAUGCUAUGUUUUUACUUUACAACUUAUAACACCAUCUUCAACUCGCUCUCCUACAGUAGAAAAUACGUAGAAGUAUCUCUCUCAUAUAGCCAACAAUAAUAUACAAAUAUAAUCCAUAUACAACCAUACUAGCUUAAUUCAUCAUAUGUGUCUAAAAAUUAUGAUUAUUAAAAUAAUUUCAGGCCUAAAGAAAAUGUGCUAUGCUAUAUUUCAGUCUUGUACUGCCCUGGACUUCUUUUGAUUUCUCUCAUUUUUUUUUCUUCCCUCUCUCCGUUGGUGAAAAAAUGCUGGCCAUUCAUCUGCUGACCACUUAUUAGGGAGCUGAGCCCACAUAAUCUUUUGAGGACAGUUGAUUGGAGGCUUGAGUUGACCCAUCUCUAUCAUUAUGUCUACAACAAUGUGUGCAAUAAUUAAGGUCUAAUGAAAAAGAAAGAAAAACUAGUAACAUGCAUUUGCUCAACUCCACUAUCUUCAAAAGCAAUAAAAUCUUGUGGCUUUAAUUUGACUAUUGAGGUCAUCCCUCCCGCAUAUGCACUGAACAACACAUACGGCUGACAGGGAUCCUCGUUACUCAGGGGGCCUUAUCAAUUUUCUGGAAAAAUAAUUGAGUUGACAAAAGUAUUCAAAAUUUGAGGUGUCCUCGCUUCCCCACCUGUUUUAGAAAAAAGAAAUAUAUUAAUAAUAUCUUAGUCUCUACAUCGAUCAAUAUAUAUAAUUGUUUCUUAUUACAAUCACCAAUACCACAACCUAACGUGAGAGGAGCUGCCUCAUAUGCACACCAAAAUGGCCAGCACGCUACACAAAGGGGAGAGAUCCGAUCGAUAGGCGCCUCCAAUGAAGAAUGCGGCGCCUGAAGGCAUUGCCAUCAUCAGUCUCGGGGAACAGCUUUCGCUAUGGUGCCUCACCCCGUGCGUGGCAUUGGCCAAUGUCCAUACUCACUAUGUCGGCAACCACCCAUCAGUGAAGCCGACAACCGGCCUCGCUGCCGCCAACCAUGCCCCUGGCAGUACUGCCGGCCGACAGACCAUAGAUCUAGCCCUACACAACAUUGCCGCACAUUGAAGUCACUGCAGACUGCCGCUGCUGGCUCUGGCGUCUGUCGUCGUUGCUAUUGGCCUCUGUUGAUUGCCUCAGGCACUCCACGGCUGGAUCCGCCCAGCCUAACUGCGGUAGGCAAGACCCGGUGGGAGGGGAGCCACCGCCAUCGCCUAGAGGUCCAGCCAGCGCACCCUCGCUAGAUCCUGGCGUGCCAUCUCUGUACCACCGAUGUGUGUCAUUGAGACCAGAUCUGGCCGCCAGAGGCGAUUUCGCCGUCCAUGAGUCCAAAUCUGAAGACCGGAGACCUCAAUAGUGAGGCAGCCACCUCCACCUCCAACGACCCCUCUAUGCUUCGCUAGAUCCACACAAUGCACCGGAUCGAGCCCUAGGAAGCCCAGCCACUGCCGUGCCUUGCCAUCGCCACCACUCAAUGUGCGUUGUUGCACUGCUCUUCUCCAGAAGCGCUAAGCCAUGGUUUUACCCCGGUCACAGCCUCACAGGGCAUCACACCAAGCUCUACGACUGGAAGCGCCCACCCGGGCCCUGGCCGGUGCCGCCACAACCGCAGGGGCAGCCCAGCCGAGUCCCACGCCGCUCAAUCUCGGUUGCACCCCACCGGACUGCAGCCACCCGUGCCACCAUACUACCAUCACACGAGAAUGGCCCGGCAUUACCAUCCCGACGAGCCGUGCUGGCCUUGCCAACAGCCUGCUCCUGCGGCGGUGCGGCAGGAGAGAGGAAGGAGGGUGGGGGCGACGGUGGCUCAGUGGGCACCUAGGUUGCUAGCGUGGGGGAUGACGCGGGGGCAAGGUUGAGUUGGGCACAAGGACAAAUGGAUGAUCCCUCGCUUCUCCACAUGUUGUUUUCUAAUAAAUAAAAAAUAUGAGUUUCAUGAGAGACAGAAAAUAGAAAUAAUAAACUGGGUUCAACAAUUAUGCGCCGGCUUUAAUUUAUGAUAAAUAAGCAUAUAGGCCCAAACCAACUCACUAACAAGUACAGAUGUAAACUGACUAGCUUCAAGUUAAAAAAAAUAAGAGUCUAAACUCAUCAAUCAUGAGAAUUUAGAAUAUAUCAAUAUGCAUGAUUUCCAUUGACAGUUUUUUGAGAGAGUGUUUUCACUGUUGGUGCAUAGUCACAAGAUGAGCUUAAAUACUUUAUUACCCAUCUCAAUAUAAAAGGUUUUGUAUGUGAACUGAGACUACAAUUUGGUUUGUAAGCAAAAUAAUCAUCUAGAGACAAGUAAACAAAGAGAUAAAACAAGGACUACAAAAAUCAUCCAGAAACAAAAUUACAUGAUAGAUUAACUUUAUAAAAUACAUAAUUUAUUUCAGUCUAUUAUAGUAGACAACUUUUAUGAUACUCUGAAUUGACCGUUCUUUUAGAAUAAACUUGAUCAAACUAAGGAUGGAUUGAAUUAGGACAAGUGAAAACCAGCAUGUAACGUCUUGUGGUGACACUAGAGCCACCCGAUUUCAUUUCCCCUAUGUCUACAACAAUUUGUGCAAUUAUAUAUAAGGUCUAGUGAAAAAGAAGAAAAACUAGUAACAUGCAUUUGCUCAAUUCCACUAUCUUCAAAUCAAAAGCAAUAAAAUCAUGUGGCUUUGACUAUUGAGGCCACACCUAGUGGGUACUGGGUAAAACAUUUUAUUUUUAUUUUUAUUUUAUUUUAUUUUAUUAUUAAUGAUUUACCACUCCUGAAAUUUAGUGGACCAGAUAUGUUUGAACUCUUAGCUCCUAGGAGGUAAUUGCAGUACCUUAUCAGUGCCCCAAAUUAUAACAUGACAGAAUUGACAUCCUGCAGAUAUGCUAUGUAUAUAUAUUAUAUCACUAGAUGCCACCAUCAUCAUCGAGCAUUUCCUUAUGCAUUCACGCCCUUCUCUUUCAGUGUUUGUUCUGUGGUAAUUACACAAUCAUAGUGCAAACGUCCAUCAUGAUGCACCCGUCGUUGAUGUGAAUGCAAAGUCUUCGGUAAAAGGAGUCAAAUUUGUAAUGGUGUUCGAUUAGAAUAUAUCCUACUGCAGAAAAGGUGAAUUUGAUAAACGGUGAAGCCUUUCAAGUUCCAUUGUAUAUGUCAUAUCACAGCUCCUCCAUGAGAGGCCUAUAAUUUGUUGAAAUGGUUUGCUUUGUUGUCAGCUAGUGCGAGGUGCAAGAGGAUAUUCCAUGGUUUUGUCUAAUUGUUAAAGACAAAAAAAAAAGUUGUUUUCCUCAGACUUCAUACAUUCGUCAGGUAUCCUGAGAUCCAACUGCAAGUUCCACAAACAUUGUAUCUAAACUGAGAGCUAAAGUUUCAGUAAUUCCACAAAAUCAUGUUUGAUAAGCUUAUGAGAUUGACACACUUAGUUCUCGAAUGUAUGUCAUCUGAAUUUGAACAGAAAUAAUUCUACUGCUAAGAUGGAAACCAGGCUGAGGCCAGAAUAAAAACUAGUAUACCCUUCUUCUAAAAUGAUGGAAACUAGGCGUUGGCUCCACAUGGAGAAAAAUGUCGUCACCGCUUAUCAUUAUCCAUGACAAUUGCUGAAAUCAUUUACAUUAUCGUCCAGAGAGUAACACAUAUAUUGUAGACAACUGAAUAGUGUUUCAGCCGAUUGUCAUCCAAGACCUUGUGUUGGCAUCUAAAUAGGAAGGAAAAGCAGCUUCAAAUUAAAAUAAUAAAAGAAACAGUUGGAACAUUAUAAGAACCUGUUAAAGACCAUUAGAAAAGAUUACCCAAAAGGAAGGAUGUCAUGGCGCCAAUUGUCAUGGUCUCUUAGAAAAAUAUGAAGCCACGAUGCUUUGUCGUUGUAACAUGCGUGCUAUUUGGUGGAGGCGAGAUGUGACAAAUUUUAUCUUGCUUUUUUUCCUGAUCAUAUAUUAUGUCGACACUGCAUGUGAAUGUGAUGGAGAUCUCCUAUUAAGCUUUGACUUCCAAAGUACCAAAUAUGUUUGUUAAUUUCCAUCUACACCAAUCAUGCAGUCCUGGGAAAAUAUGAAGACUUAUAAAGUGAACUUUUGAGUUAAAAACAGGGAGGUAGCUGCUGCUGAUGGAUGGCACACAAUGCAUUGUUAUCUUAAAUGUCUUCUACACCGCCAUUUGUAUCUCUACUUGACACAUAGUAAUUUACAUUUUCAGAAGCCAUGACACAUCACAAGUCUACUAGAACAGCGAAAUCUCCAAGAAUGAGAACCAAUCAAGUCUCUAUCUCUUGAUUUCUUAUUUCGCCAAGCAGUUUUGAGUGUCAAGCUCUGCCCAUGCAUUUAGUAUAUACCUGAAAAUCUUCAGAAGAAACCUAAUCCUGCACACAUACCAAUCCAAACAG